CCUACGGGAGGCAGCAGUGGGGAAUAUUGCACAAUGGGGGAAACCCUGAUGCAGCGACGCCGCGUGAGUGAAGAAGUAUUUCGGUAUGUAAAGCUCUAUCAGCAGGGAAGAAAAUGACGGUACCUGAGUAAGAAGCUCCGGCUAAAUACGUGCCAGCAGCCGCGGUAAUACGUAUGGAGCAAGCGUUAUCCGGAUUUACUGGGCGUAAAGGGAGCGUAGGCGGCCUGCCAAGUCUGAUGUGAAAUACCGGGGCUCAACCCCGUCGUGCCGUUGAAACUGGCGUUCUUGAGUGAGCGAGAAGUAUGCGGAAUGCGUGGUGUAGCGGUGAAAUGCAUAGAUAUCACGCAGAACUCCGAUUGCGAAGGCAGCAUACCGGCGCUCAACUGACGCUCAUGCACGAAAGCGUGGGUAUCGAACAGGAUUAGAUACCCGAGUAGUC
rnacentral:rRNA from 1 species